GACGAACGCUAGCGGCGUGCUUAACACAUGCAAGUCGAACGGAAAGGCCCUGCUUUUGUGGGGUGCUCGAGUGGCGAACGGGUGAGUAACACGUGAGUAACCUGCCCUUGACUUUGGGAUAACUUCAGGAAACUGGGGCUAAUACCGGAUAGGAGCUCCUGCUGCAUGGUGGGGGUUGGAAAGUUUCGGCGGUUGGGGAUGGACUCGCGGCUUAUCAGCUUGUUGGUGGGGUAGUGGCUUACCAAGGCUUUGACGGGUAGCCGGCCUGAGAGGGUGACCGGCCACAUUGGGACUGAGAUACGGCCCAGACUCCUACGGGAGGCAGCAGUGGGGAAUAUUGCACAAUGGGCGGAAGCCUGAUGCAGCAACGCCGCGUGCGGGAUGACGGCCUUCGGGUUGUAAACCGCUUUCGCCUGUGACGAAGCGUGAGUGACGGUAAUGGGUAAAGAAGCACCGGCUAACUACGUG
rnacentral:rRNA from 1 species